CAAAAGCAGGACGUGGGUAAAUGAGAGAAGAUAAGGUAUUGCCCCUGCAAGCAGAACAUCCUGUCUUCAAAAGGGAUCCUGGAGGAAGCAACACAGAGUGAUUCCACAGAGGGAAAGCCAGCACCUACAAUGGCUGUGAAGGGAAUGAGUAAAUAAAUCCUCAGACCAUGGAAUUUGGGCUUUCUGAUACAUCUGGAAUCCAGAUUGAUGAGAAGAUGAGAAGAUGAGAAGAUGAGAAGCAGGCACUCCAAUCAUGGGCAAGACUUCCUGAGACUCAUGCCCUCCAGCACUGCUUGUUGACCUCCCCUUCAAACUCAGGACAUUGAUGGACCAUCACAAUGGACAGAACACCCUGGACCUACAUGGUUGUAAAAGCUCUAGUCAUGGCCCCGUUGGAGUUUACAGUGAUGCAUUCUUUCACUGAGAGAUUAUAUUCUCCUGAGACCAAACCUUCUGCAGGUACUUACCAGUUCUUAUGAAGUUCUUAUCUGGGGAAGAUUCUCAUGCCUAGGAUGAAAUACAUCAAAGAGCAAGAAAACGUCAGCUCCUCCUAGAUAAUCAUCCUGUGAUCAAGACACUGACUGGUGGCACAGGAGUCCAGAUUUC